UUCAGAGAGGAACAGGAAAUCACCGAUAUC
rnacentral:piRNA from 1 species